AAAGUUUUAAGAGCCGCAGUAUUUUGACUGUGCAAAGGUAGCAUAAUCAUUAGUUUUUUAAUUGAGAACUUGUAUGAACGGUCGAACAAAAGAAUUUCUGUCUCUUUAUUAAGAAUUGAAUUUAACUUUUAAGUGAAAAGUCUUAAAUUUUUUUAGGGGACGAUAAGACCCUAUAAAGCAUUUUAUUGGGGCGAUACGGAUAUAAAUGUUAACUGUCAGAAUGGAAAACAUAAUAUGUAUGAAAUGAUCCUAAGAUUUAGAUUAAAAGACAAAGUUACUUUAGGGAUAACAGCGUAAUUUUUUUUAAGAGUUCUUAUCGAAAAAAAAGUUUGCGACCUCGAUGUUGAAUUAAAAUAUCUUUACAGUGUAGCCUUUGUAAGAGAAGGUCUGUUCGACCUUUAAAUUUUU
rnacentral:rRNA from 1 species